GCUGAAGAAAAAGCAAUUAAACACAACGCAUGGGGUGUACGGACGCAAGACUGAAACUCAAAAGGAAUAGACGUGGGCCCGCACAAGCGGUGGAGCAUGUGGUUUAAUUUGAAGCAACGCGAAGAACCUUACCAGGUCUUGACAUCCUCUGACAAUCCUAGAGAUAGGACGUCCCCUUCGGGGGCAGAGUGACAGGUGGUGCAUGGUUGUCGUCAGCUCGUGUCGUGAGAUGUUGGGUUAAGUCCCGCAACGAGCGCAACCCUUGAUCUUAGUUGCCAGCAUUCAGUUGGGCACUCUAAGGUGACUGCCGGUGACAAACCGGAGGAAGGUGGGGAUGACGUCAAAUCAUCAUGCCCCUUAUGACCUGGGCUACACACGUGCUACAAUGGACAGAACAAAGGGCAGCGAAACCGCGAGGUUAAGCCAAUCCCACAAAUCUGUUCUCAGUUCGGAUCGCAGUCUGCAACUCGACUGCGUGAAGCUGGAAUCGCUAGUAAUCGCGGAUCAGCAUGCCGCGGUGAAUACGUUCCCGGGCCUUGUACACACCGCCCGUCACACCACGAGAGUUUGUAACACCCGAAGUCGGUGAGGUAACCUUUAGGAGCCAGCCGCCGAAGUGGACAGAAUU
rnacentral:rRNA from 1 species